CUAUCAUGCUGCCUCUGCAACUCAUUUGUCAUAGAGGCAAGUAUGAUACACUUGACAGUUAAAGAAUCAUUUUGCCACAUCCUAUAUGUGGCUUUUUCUUCCUCUAUGGCAUCCUCCCUAACUGGCUCAAUAUCAGGGGUAUCGAGGAUGUAAGAAAGCUUCUCUUGACUAAGUACUAUUUUAAGAUUUCUCAACCAGUCCACAUAGUUGGUACCAGUCAAUUUAUUUAUAUCCAAAAUGGAGCAAAGUGAAAGUGAAGAAGCCAUUAAUCUACAUAAUAAAGAAUAUUACAUAAGCAAACAACUCAAGAUGAUAUGCAUAAUUAAAUUAGGACUUUAAUUUUAUUGUGUCUCCCACUAUUUU
rnacentral:lncRNA from 1 species